CGGGGCCGCGAGCCCUGGCGGGGGCCGGCCCGUCCCGCUGUCCCCGGAGCGCCGGGAGCGGACGGGGCGCGCUCGGAGCUGAGGAUGGAUUGGCGAGGGAGGCAGAAGACGUUUGCGGAGCAGCCACGGAGACCUGGGGAAGGCGAGGUCUCGGAGCAGCAGCUUUACAGGCAUCUUCGUUCGGGAGCACCUCCACACCUGCAAGGCUGCACAAUUAUAGAAGCAGAUCAGAGAACUCCCCAUGAUGCUGUAUAUUGAUUCAGAAAUGAGAUUUCAGGCUCAUCUCUACACAGUCUAAGCAGUUCAUAAAUACUUAUUCUCCCAGUUUCCCUUUUCUAAAUAUUGGGAACAAGAAGCUGAACUACAGAGAGACUGCAUUCUCCAGAUGCUUUCAUUCUGGGUGACAAAUCUGAGAGAAAAAAUACCGGACUACAAGUGAUGCAAGAAGGAUAUUUAACACUCAGCAAAACACAACCCCCAUAAGCCACACAACUGGAGACUAUCACAUGUGCACACACAAAAUUAUCUAUGCUUAAAGCAUCUUGAGCUGUAUCCUAUAGGAGCUCUACAGCACAGACAAAGAAGCCAAUUCUAUGGGGUAUCAUUCAAUUAUCUGACCAGAAGAUUCCUCAUCCCAUUUGGUAAUCACGCCUCAGUUUCCAUCUUCAAAAUAAAAUAAGUGUUAUCCUACAGAUAAUGCUCUAGAAA